rnacentral:rRNA from 1 species
GAUGAACGCUAGCGGCAGGCCUAACACAUGCAAGUCGAGGGGUAGAACACUUCGGUGUUUGAGACCGGCGCACGGGUGCGUAACGCGUAUGCAAUCUACCUUGUACAGGGGAAUAGCCCAGAGAAAUUUGGAUUAAUGCCCCAUAGUAUAUAACCUUCGCAUGUUGGUUAUAUUAAAGUUCCAACGGUACAAGAUGAGCAUGCGUCCCAUUAGUUAGUUGGUAAGGUAACGGCUUACCAAGACGAUGAUGGGUAGGGGUCCUGAGAGGGAGAUCCCCCACACUGGUACUGAGACACGGACCAGACUCCUACGGGAGGCAGCAGUGAGGAAUAUUGGUCAAUGGUCGCAAGACUGAACCAGCCAUGCCGCGUGCAGGAAGACGGUCCUAUGGAUUGUAAACUGCUUUUAUACAGGAAGAAACCCUCCAACGUUGGGAGCUUGACGGUACUGUAGGAAUAAGGAUCGGCUAACCCGUGCCAGCAGCCGCGUAAUCAUACUCG